AAGGGAGACCUAAUUCCGGUAGGAGACGAAAAAAAAGUAGUCCCAACCAAGAAUCAAUCCCAAAAGGUCGGAACGAGGUAUGAGGCUUUCAAACUAGGUUCUGGGUUCGUAAAAGAUCUGAAUCAGGAACAAGGGCUAUUAGCUCAGGUGGUUAGAGCGCACCCCUGAUAAGGGUGAGGUCCCUGGUUCGAGUCCAGGAUGGCCCACCUGCACAGGUGGCAAAAACAAGAGAAGCUCCGAAUCAGCACCUUAUCUUAUAUACAUAUAUAAGAGAGAAUGCUGGCUCUGAGUACAGAGUCCAGAGGAACCUUGAAAACUGCAUAGAGCUAGGUGAAAAAGCCAAAAAAGAAGACCGCAA
rnacentral:tRNA from 1 species